GGUCCAGAGGAGAAGACAAACUCUACUGUGGCAUCAGAUGGAAAACGCUCAUCUGGGGAAAAAGAUCAUGACACCCAGAUCUAUGAAAGCAUACCAGCGAUGUGGGGAACUCCAGAAAGGACUGUUUCUGCUCCAAUAUAUCAAAUACACUAAUACCUUCCACAGAUGUGUUCUGAGGUGUGUGAACCCACAAUGGUGUGUUUAUGUACAUUUGUAAUGCUUCAUUUAGUGUAAUGGAUUGACGACCACAUAACACAGCCUCCUUUGCCUUACAGACGUGCUGCUCAGCUACACAUGCUCUUUCAUUUCGGAGAAAAUGAAACCAAAGAGGAAAUUAAGUAAUGAGCCUAUUCAUUAUGGACUUAAGGAACACACCAGCGCUCACUAGGCCUCCUUUACUCUCUUAGAGGGAUAGUUAGGAGACGCUCGCUCCGGCAUACAGUGCAACUCAUUUUCACUGUACUUGCCUCCAGAGAGCUGUUAUUAUGUCCAGGAUGGGGAUUAUGCUGCUAUUAUUUAGGGAUUUAUUCAACCACGCUAUUAUGAGGCCAAACCACUGUGAAUACAUUCCCACAAUGCCAAUAUAAAGAGCUGCAAUUAUAUCCAUUAGUAGUGUGUGGUGAUUAUCCUACCACAAUUAACAGAUUGUGCCUGAAUGACAAUUUGAAAGUAUCCCCUCCCCCCAAAAAAAAAAAAAAUCAGGCAAAAACCC